UUCCGGUUGAUCCUGCCGGAGGCGACCGCUUUUGGAGUUCGAUUAAGCCAUGCGAGUCGAGAGCCUUUGGGGCUCGGCAUACUGCUCAGUAACACGUGGAUAACCUGCCCUAUUGUCUGGAAUAACCUCGGGAAACUGAGAACAAGGCCGGAUAGCCCACAAUGCCUGGAACGGUUUGUGGGUGAAGAUAGGAUGGGCCUGCGCCGUAUCAGGUUGUAGGGGGUGUAAAGUACCCUCUAGCCAUCAACGCGUACGGGUGUUGGGAGACAUUGCCCGGAGAUGGAUUCUGAGACACGAAUCCAGACCCUACGGGGUGCAGCAGGCGCGAAAACUUGGCAAUGCGAGCAAUCGUGACCAGGGAACUCCAAGUGCGUAGGGUAAGACCUACGCUUUUCUUGACUCUUCAAAGGUCUUGGAAUAAGGGGUGGGUAAGGACGGUGCCAGCCGCCGCGGUAAUACCGGCGCCUCAAGUGGUAGUCGCUUUUAUUGGGCCUAAAACGUCCGUAGCCGGUCUGGUGCAUUCGUGGGUAAAUCAACCCGCUCAACGGGUUGAAUUCUGCGAGCACGGCCAGACUUGGGACCGGGAGAGGUGUGGGGUACUCUCAGGGUAGGGGUAAAAUCCUGUCAUCCUGAGAGGACCACCUGUUGCGAAGGCGCCACACUAGAACGGAUCCGACGGUCAGGGACGAAACCUAGGGGCACGAACCGGAUUAGAUACCCGGGUAGUCCUAGGUGUAAACGCUGUGGACUUGAUGUUGGGGGCGCUCCGAGCGCUCUCAGUGUCGAAGCGAAGGUGAUAAGUCCACUGCCUGGGGAGUACGGUCGCAAGGCUGAAACUUAAAGGAAUUGGCGGGGGAGCACUGCAACCUGAGGAUUGUGCGGUUUAAUUGGAUUUCAACGUGGGA
rnacentral:rRNA from 1 species